ensembl:lncRNA
GAAAACUCUGUUUACGUAGCUGCAGCGCUGCACGCAAACGGCACCUGAGCCUACAUGAAAUGCCUGUCUAGUGCCUAGACCAAAGAGAUUGCCAUAGUUGUCUUGUGAGACUGCCUUUUAUGAAAUUAAUUGAAAUCUUCAUAAAUCCAGGCUCAGUUUGCCACGUAAAGUUAGCCUAAAUAAUCAGACAGCCAGUGUCACAAUCCUACUGUUGGGUAAUGUUAAGCUGGAGGGUAACUGGUUGUCGUGCUAACUGUGGGAGAGGCUCCCUUGAUUGGCCUUGAUUAUGGUCACCUGAGGGAUCCAAGAUGGCGGACAGAAGCAAGAUGGUGUCUGGAUAGACAGCAUGGUGCCCAGACUUGGUUACACUCAGAAACCAUAAGACUUUGUAAAACCUAUUUGCCCUUAUACAAGGACAGUACCAGAAUUAGAGAUUCCUACAGGGAACGUGACUACUCCUUUGUCGUGUAUGUCUGUCAAGUGUUUGUCAAUGCUAUAUGUCAAACAAUAACCAAACGGGACAGGCUACCGUUCACCCCAACGCUUGGGCUAUCCCUCAACAAGAGAGAGAAGGACCAGAGCUCGACAGGAACCCAGGGAGAUGGAUUCAGACAUCGAGAGGGGAUUCAGACACUCCCCACAGGAUAGUUGUCAUCAGGGCCGACGGACUGCGGGGGAAAGUGAGGCAGUCGUGGGGGGGCCCAAGGCAGAGGGGGCCCAUGGCAAAAAAAAAAAAAAAAAAGAAAGAAAUUUGAAUUAUCCCACAG